AAACUUACCUAGCAGUGGUGAUUCUGCAAUCACAAAGGUGGUUUCCUCAAAGGGAGGCUUACCCAUUGCACUGAAAAUAUGUUGAACCCUGCAACUUCCCAGAAUAUCAGAAGUUGUUGUUUGCGGU
rnacentral:snRNA from 1 species